AGCCAAGAGGAACACACUCCAGGAGGGAAGUAUGGUCUCUUAGGAGCAAAAGACGGAGACCCCUGGUGUGAACACAGUGAACUAUAUAGCAACAGCCUUCACUGGCCUCAUGCAAUGCUCUCAGGAGCAGUGUGUGCUGUCUGGCUGCCUCCACUGGGACCCGCCAGGCACCAAUGAGAACAGGCUUGUUUGGAGAUCCUUCCAGAAAGUUCCUUUAGCCUUGUGAUGGGCAGCAAGGACAGCACUUUAGUAUUUUUAUGAAAUAAUAGGAGUAGGAAUUUCAGCUGCAAACAUUCCUGAUCCUGUUUGCAGGAACUGCAGCCUCCAGGAGAUGCAGCCUGCUCUCCAAGCCAUCCCUGUCCCUGCCGGGCUCCUCCAGCAGCUGUGAUCUGGAGCUUGUCCAUUAGACCAGACCAAGUGGCCAGUGAACCGUGGGGACCCACACGUCUCUGCCUCUCAGUGCUGGGAUUGCGGGAGCAUGCACCACGCCCAUCUUUUCAUGUGGGUUCUGGGAACAAGCUCAGUUUCUCGUGAUG
rnacentral:lncRNA from 1 species